GUCCUCAAAAGUUAUGAAACUUUGUAGUUGAUAACUUUUUGAUUUGAAAUCAUCUUGUCAUGCAAAAACUAUGUUUAAAUUUCUCAAAUUUGAAAUUCAACUUUUGUAAACGAUCUCGGAUGGAGAAACUCCCUAAAUGAAAAUUAUGGAUCUCAAAAAGUUAUGAAAUUUUGUAGUUGAUAACUUUUUGAUUAGAAAUCAUUUAGAAGCUCAAAUAAUCAAUUUACAUGUGAUUUGAUAUAAUAUAUGAGGAGCCAAAACGGAAUAUAUACAAAAGUGAUGGUGUAGUGCAAUGGAUAAGGUGUAAGGUACUUGUGAGAGAGGUCCUAGGUUAUAGCUGAUGUCAGCCCUUCCUCUAAAAAAUUUUUUUUCCUAUUUUUUCGAGUUUUUUUUAUUUUUGUCUUUGCCGAGUGUCGUCACUCGACAAAGCUUUUGCCGAGUGCUCGAUAAAAAACACUCAGUAAAAACCCCUUUGCCGAUCAGUUUUUUUGCCGUGUGCUCUUGCCGAGUGUUUUUAGGCCAUUGGCGUGUGCCAGAAACACUCGGCAAAGCCUCCGUGUCCAGUAGUGGCGAACCAUCGCCGGAGGAGGGGCGAUACUGAUGGAUGGGUCGUUGGGGGUGGGAGAGGUGAAGGACUCGGAGGAGGUGGAGGAGCCGGCGUGUGAGACUUCGACGUCGAACAGGGGGUUGGCCUCCAAGUCCAUGGCGUGGAGGAACAGACCUGGCAGCGGAGGACGGAGGGCUCAGCGAAGAGCGCCGGUGGGCAAGGAACGGCGAGCAACGAGAGCAGCGGUUGCGGAAGGAAAAGGGCA
rnacentral:lncRNA from 1 species